rnacentral:lncRNA from 1 species
AUGCCACGCCUUUCCUCCGCCGUCUACGGGAAAGGAGACAAGCUGUUUCACACCAAAUCUGGACCGUUGAAUUUCCACUCGUCGCUGGUUUCUCGUGGUGCACAACUUGCUGUGGAUUAUGAUGACGACGCGCAACACGAUGAAGGUGACGAAGGACUGGAGAUCGCAAAGAUUGGAAUUUCUAAGGAGAUCGUGAACGCUCUUGCAAAGAAAGGUAUCACGAAGCUCUUCCCUAUUCAGAAAGCUGUGCUGGAACCUGCUAUGCAAAAGAGGACAUAUCAUAACAACACUGUAUAA